AGACACACAGCUCCUGUCCGGGGAAGCUCUGACUCUGAGGGCGGGACCUUGCACCUACCCCAGGGAGCCCAGAGCCUGAGGGGAGACGCUAUCUCAGCCCUGCCCUGUUCCUUCCUUUUGGACUAAUGGCUGAGUGACCCAACUGGAUUUCCUUGGCUUGAACCUGAGCAAGCCCUCUCUCUCUAAAGACUUGAAUGCCUACUCCCUUCACUGAGUGGUUUCUUCUGUUCCUGGCCAACUCAGUGAGAAAGCAAUCAUCUGCAAGCUGGGAAGAGAGCCCUCAUUGGAACUCAACC